GAUGAACGCUGACAGAAUGCUUAACACAUGCAAGUCUACCAAGAAUCACUUCGGCUUGGACUGGUGGCGGACGGGUGAGUAACGCGUAAAUAAUCUGCCCAUUAGACUGGGAUAUCCUGUGGAAACGAAGGUUAAUACCGGAUAUUAUGAGAUGGACGCAUGUUCAACUUAUGAAAGCUAAAUGCACUAGAGCAGGAGUUUUCGUCCCAUUAGCUAGUUGGUGAGGUAAAGGCUCACCAAGGCCACGAUGGGUAGCCGGCCUGAGAGGGUGAACGGCCCCAAGGGAACCGAAACACGUUCCUUACUACUAAGGGAGGCAGCAGUGGGGAAGAUAGGACGAUGGACCAAAAGUCUGAUCCAGCAAUUCGGAGUGCACACUGAAGGUCUUCUGAUUGUAAAGUACUUUCAGUAGGGAAGAAAAAAAUGACGGUACCUACAGAAGAAGCGACGGCUAAAUAUGUGCCAGCAGCCGCCGUAA
rnacentral:rRNA from 1 species